rnacentral:lncRNA from 1 species
AUGGAGAGCAGCAGUUUAUUCCAGAAGCCACGUCCCAGGACCAACGCCCACCAUUUGAGGUCCUUCUUGGACCAUUCGUGGCAGUUUGGAUUUCCCCCAAAAGCUCAUCUGCCGCCUCCACUCCGCCCGGCUGUCUCAGCGAUUGUCCACUCACAAGGAGUGUGGGGACAAGAGCCUGCUUCUCAUCCACCAGGGGCCGGCAGCCUCGAUAACGCAGGGCCAACCCUGAACCAUCCACCCUCGGGGCUCACUGCCAACCCAGACCAUGUCCCCACGCCACCUUCCGUCUCGCACAGGUGACCAGGAGGGAGGCGCCGCUCCAGCCGACGCGAGGAACAAUUUAUGAGUUGCAGUCCCAGGGCUCAGUUCUGCCAGUGGAAUCAGAAGUCGGCUUGAAGGCUGCCGCCGUAUUUCACCCUCCCGCUUCCCUCUGGACAUAUUUCAGAGCUGUUGAUCUUAAAAGUAAAUGACAGGCCGCUUCAAAAUGAGGCUUAAGGAGCUGGGCCACAGAGCCGUUCUGGGAGAUUCGGACAGCCGGCCCCUCAUUCCUCUACUUUCCUGCACUGAGGCUCACGUCACCUCAGCCCACGGGCAGGCCUCCCACCCGGGGACCUCCACAGUGAGCACAGGACAAUACAGAGAGGCCCAGCAUGAGAAAUGCCGCAGUAGGUGCCUGAGUCGGCAGGCUGCUGUGAUAGAGGGCAGAGGCUCGCUGGCUUAUGGACAAUAGGAAUUUAUUUCUCAUUGUUCUGGAGGCUGGAAGGCCAAGAUCAGAGGGCCGGCAUGGUUGGGUGCUCUGGAGACCCUCUUCUGGCUUGCAAAUGGUCGUGUUCAUGCUUUGUCCUUACGUGGUGGGAAGAGAGAGAAAGAGAAAGAAAGCUCUCUGAUCUCUUUUCAUACGGGCACUGAUCCCUCUCAUGAGGGCUCCACCCUCCUGACCUAACCACCUCCCAACACCAUCACCUGGGGGCUAGGAUUUCAACAUGCAAAUGUCAGAGGGCCACAAACACUCAGUCCCUAGUGGGAGGGGCUCCCUAAUGGUUGGAUGAGAAGCUGAGCAGGCUGGCAAAGGCCGCUGGUGCUGCGCUCCGGGGCACGUCACCCAGGGAAAGCCUGGCAGCCUGCCCCAGAGGCCUCUCGAGUCAGGUUUUCACAGUCUGGAGUCUAAUCCUGACCCCGAGUGCUUAGAAACUGGAUUUUCCAGUCCUCAGUCGAUGUCCAUCAACCUAGCCCACAGGAGUGAAUGAGAAACUAGCAGGCAGUUUAUUAAUGCACUGAGAAGUGUAACUCUCAUGGGGAC